GCCAGACUCCUACGGGAGGCAGCAGUGGGGGAUAUUGCACAAUGGGGGGAACCCUGAUGCAGCGACGCCGCGUGGGUGAAGAAGCGCCUCGGCGCGUAAAGCCCUAUCGGCAGGGAAGAAGGAGGACGGUACCUGACUAAGAAGCCCCGGCUAACUACGUGCCAGCAGCCGCGGUAAUACGUAGGGGGCAAGCGUUAUCCGGAUUUACUGGGUGUAAAGGGGGCGCAGACGGCGAUGCAAGCCAGGAGUGAAAGCCCGGGGCCCAACCCCGGGACUGCUCUUGGAACUGCGUGGCUGGAGUGCAGGAGGGGCAGGCGGAAUUCCUGGUGUAGCGGUGAAAUGCGUAGAUAUCAGGAGGAACACCGGUGGCGAAGGCGGCCUGCUGGACUGCAACUGACGUUGAGGCCCGAAAGCGUGGGGAGCAAACAGGAUUAGAUACCCCGGUA
rnacentral:rRNA from 1 species